GCAAAACACGAAGCUGAAUGCAGGAUGGAGUGAUGGUGACACAGCUUGUCCCCCCCUGCCACCUCAUCACUCACAGAGGCCCGGAAGGCCAAGAAAGGACAGCGGCUACGUCUUCGCAGGGAGGUGGAAGCAGGAAAGCAGAAGCAGUUGUUGGCUGUCAUCUCAUCGCUUCUUUCAAAGCCAGCAAGAGUCACUUCUGAAAUGACAAGUCCUUUUGUAUUUCCCAAAGUCUCACUCUGGCUGGCCUCCCUAGUCCAUCCUGCCUGGGGAGCCAUAAUCUCCAAGCCAUUUGGAGAGAGUCGGCCAAAUCUUUAAAAGGCACCACGCAGGGCCAACUGAUCCAGGAUUAUUUAAACACAGGAAGUAAAAGGAAAUUAAAGAGAAAGAAAACAAUGUUCUGACUGGAAGUUCAGUUUUACGGUGAGAGAAAGUUUGAGAAGAAUUCAGUCCUCCUACUUUUUGCUAAGGAACUGUUGGCAAUAAUUCCCUUGGGAAGAGAACAGCUAGUUUUCGACUCUCUCCUGACUCCUUCACUUCAAAUGCAGAAAUAUUUACCAUUACGAUGGGAAAAUAGCCCAAUGGAAGUCAUCACGCUACAGGCGCCCCUGUGCACAGAAGAAAGUUUCCCUGAUAGACGCACACGUGGGUUUCCAGACUUCUCUUUAAUCAGAAUGUGAUCCCCACAAAGGAAGGAGAACGGACAGCUGAAUGCCUAGAAAAGUGCUGGGUUAAAUAUUUGUUGACUGGAAGAACAAACGGAGCUUAAACAGGGACCCUGAAGAAUCAAGUACCCUGGAGGGCACCCCGGCAUCUCCCAGGUCUUCCGAGCCAGCAGGUGGUCCACCUUUCCAGUACAUGCCCGGGAACUCAGGCGCACAGGCUCCUCUCAGAGCUUGAGACCCCAACACCACGGCUCCUGACGGCCACUUUUCUUACUCUCCAUUUAAGUCCCAAGCAUACGGACGACUUCUCAAACUCUCCUUGUACUUGUAGUUACGGGUGAAGUAAACCGGACAGGGUUUACUCAACACUUUCAGUCUAAUGAGAUGAGUAAAUUAUUAGCAGUGUCCCAGACGCCUCCCAUUGUGACUACAGAUCGACACCCAGGUAUUCCACAGAGGCACACUGACUCCGUUGACGCAGGCUUCUUUGAGCCCUACUGCAUUACGCUGAGUGAAAUGUCCAACGAAACAUUAUAUGCCCAAUGAAACAUGGCUUGUGAAUUACAGGGACAAACGUUGCUUUUAAAAACUGGAGAGUUUGGAUUUCACGAGGCUAAUAAUUGCUGGAUGGCGUCACUUGAGGUUUCAAAGCUCCUCCAGGGAAGAAAUUAAAGAAGAAAAUGGCACGUUGUCCAUCUCCACUUCACUGGGGUAGAAAUAUCACUUUGAUAGUUGAGCCAAUUGACAAAUACGUCAACAAUGAAAGGAACAAAUUGAGACUGGCACAAAAUGCACACACGAUUUACGUUUCUCAUUAGGAGAAUGUGGACUCUUGGUAGAACUUGAUUAUUUACCAAAAGAGACAGCUAAGAAUCAAAAUGACACAGAGAACAUUUCUGGCCCCCAUAUUAUCUGAGCAUAAGUAGCUCCACCCUAGACGCUUACUGUCCCUUACUCACCACACAGCAGAACUGAGCACCAAGAUGUAUCUGGACCCAACUCUACCGAUAAAUGGCUAGAGUACAAAAUUGCUUUGUUUCAAAGGAGAUAUACCCUGUAUCUUGAAAUCUAGUGAUUAAGUGUUAAAUAGCUCUGUCCAUUUUGUCCCCCAUAAGGUGACUUCAUAUUAUCCAUUUUAAACUUAGGAAAACCUUAUUUUGAAUGUGUGCGUAGGGCGAUAGCAUUACAGAUAUCCCCCAAAAUUAAAAUAUUAAAGUUUGGCCAAAGAAAACAAAGAGAAAUUAAUACAGGAACUGGCAAAUGUUUGGAACUUUAUAAUUGAUGAGCAACAGAGAAAGACAACUCCUUCCUUCUCAGUGAAUAGGUCGUUUGGCCCCUGGCUACCUUGUCACUGGUAAAAAUGGAAAACCUAGAAAACAAAAGUCCUCAGGGACAUCCAUGAGCAAAGAGCAGACCUGAAAUUUCAACGCCGCUUCUCUCUCACUCUCCAUUCUAACAGCCUUAAUGUCUAUGGUAUUUUAUUGCAAAUUACCUCAGUUCUUUUUGAAUGUGGACAGAAGAAUAAUUAUAAAUACACAAAUAGAGA